UAGAGCCUACAAGCCGGAGACUAUGUUCUGU
rnacentral:piRNA from 1 species